UACGUAGGGUCCGAGCGUUGUCCGGAUUUAUUGGGCGUAAAGAGCUCGUAGGCGGUUCCGUAAGUCAGAUGUGAAAACGUCAGGGCUCAACCCGGAGACGCCAUCUGAUACUGCGGUGACUGGAGUCUGGUAGGGGAUCACGGAAUACCUGGUGUAGCGGUGAAAUGCGCAGAUAUCAGGUGGAACACCGAUGGCGAAGGCAGUGAUCUGGGCCAGUACUGACGCUGAGGAGACGAAAGCAUGGGGAGCGAACAGG
rnacentral:rRNA from 1 species